AUUGAACGCUGGCGGCAGGCCUAACACACGCAAGUCGAGCGGAUGAAGGGAGCUUGCUCCUGGAUUCAGCGGCGGACGGGUGAGUAAUGCCUAGGAAUCUGCCUGGUAGUGGGGGAUAACGUCCGGAAACGGGCGCUAAUACCGCAUACGUCCUGAGGGAGAAAGUGGGGGAUCUUCGGACCUCACGCUAUCAGAUGAGCCUAGGUCGGAUUAGCUAGUUGGUGGGGUAAAGGCCUACCAAGGCGACGAUCCGUAACUGGUCUGAGAGGAUGAUCAGUCACACUGGAACUGAGACACGGUCCAGACUCCUACGGGAGGCAGCAGUGGGGAAUAUUGGACAAUGGGCGAAAGCCUGAUCCAGCCAUGCCGCGUGUGUGAAGAAGGUCUUCGGAUUGUAGAGCACUUUAAGUUGGGAGGAAGGGCAGUAAGUUAAUACCUUGCUGUUUUGACGUUACCAACAGAAUAAGCACCGGCUAACUUCGUG
rnacentral:rRNA from 1 species